UACGGAGGGUGCAAGCGUUAAUCGGAAUUACUGGGCGUAAAGGGCUCGUAGGCGGCCAACUAAGUCAGACGUGAAAUCCCUCAGCUUAACUGGGGAACUGCGUCUGAUACUGGAUGGCUUGGAUCCGGGAGAGGGAUGCGGAAUUCCAGGUGUAGCGGUGAAAUGCGUAGAUAUCUGGAGGAACACCGGUGGCGAAGGCGGCAUCCUGGACCGGUAUUGACGCUGAGGAGCGAAAGCCAGGGGAGCAAACGGG
rnacentral:rRNA from 1 species